CAACCCAUCACUCUAUGCGAGCUGGUCAUGCUCGAGACCGUUACCUUAACUGCUAGGAGAGAGAUAUAGUAGGUAGGAUUACUUACUGGAGUGAUGUCACAACAAGGUAGUCAUACUGAAAGGUGCGUCUG
rnacentral:rRNA from 1 species